rnacentral:tRNA from 1 species
UUCUCCGUCGUCAAGAGGCUUAAGACAGCAGUCUCUAAAACUGCCACUCCUUGGUUCGAAUCCAAGCGGAGAAACCA